rnacentral:rRNA from 1 species
GCACAACGCGAAGAACCUUACCAGCCCUUGACAUGGCAGGACGGUUUCCGGAGACGGAUUCCUUCACUUCGGUGACCUGCACACAGGUGCUGCAUGGCUGUCGUCAGCUCGUGUCGUGAGAUGUUGGGUUAAGUCCCGCAACGAGCGCAACCCUCGCCUUUAGUUGCCAUCAUUUAGUUGGGCACUCUAGAGGGACUGCCGGUGAUAAGCCGGAGGAAGGUGGGGAUGACGUCAAGUCUUCAUGGCCCUUACGGGCUGGGCUACACACGUGCUACAAUGGCGGUGACAGAGGGCAGCUAGUCCGCGAGGACAUGCUAAUCCCUAAAAGCCGUCUCAGUUCGGAUUGCACUCUGCAACUCGAGUGCAUGAAGUUGGAAUCGCUAGUAAUCGCAGAUCAGCAUGCUGCGG